rnacentral:rRNA from 1 species
GAAGGUGGCCUGUGAGGGUUGCUGGAGGUAUCAGAAGUGCGAAUGCUGACAUAAGUAACGAUAAAGCGGGUGAAAAGCCCGCUCGCCGGAAGACCAAGGGUUCCUGUCCAACGUUAAUCGGGGCAGGGUGAGUCGACCCCUAAGGCGAGGCCGAAAGGCGUAGUCGAUGGGAAACGGGUUAAUAUUCCCGUACUUGGUGUUACUGCGAAGGGGGGACGGAGAAGGCUAUGUUGGCCGGGCGACGGUUGUCCCGGUUUAAGCGUGUAGGUGUGUGUUCCAGGUAAAUCCGGUUCACUUUAACACUGAGGCGUGAUGACGAGGCACUACGGUGCUGAAGCAACAAAUGCCCUGCUUCCAGGAAAAGCCUCUAAGCAUCAGGUAACAUCAAAUCGUACCCCAAACCGACACAGGUGGUCAGGUAGAGAAUACCAAGGCGCUUGAGAGAACUCGGGUGAAGGAACUAGGCAAAAUGGUGCCGUAACUUCGGGAGAAGGCACGCUGACACGUAGGUGAAGUGAUUUACUCACGGAGCUGAAGUCAGUCGAAGAUACCAGCUGGCUGCAACUGUUUAUUAAAAACACAGCACUGUGCAAACACGAAAGUGGACGUAUACGGUGUGACGCCUGCCCGGUGCCGGAAGGUUAAUUGAUGGGGUCAGCGCAAGCGAAGCUCCUGAUCGAAGCCCCGGUAAACGGCGGCCGUAACUAUAACGGUCCUAAGGUAGCGAAAUUCCUUGUCGGGUAAGUUCCGACCUGCACGAAUGGCGUAAUGAUGGCCAGGCUGUCUCCACCCGAGACUCAGUGAAAUUGAACUCGCUGUGAAGAUGCAGUGUACCCGCGGCAAGACGGAAAGACCCCGUGAACCUUUACUAUAGCUUGACACUGAACAUUGAGCCUUGAUGUGUAGGAUAGGUGGGAGGCUUUGAAGUGUGGACGCCAGUCUGCAUGGAGCCGACCUUGAAAUACCACCCUUUAAUGUUUGAUGUUCUAACGUGGACCCGUAAUCCGGGUUGCGGACAGUGUCUGGUGGGUAGUUUGACUGGGGCGGUCUCCUCCUAAAGAGUAACGGAGGAGCACGAAGGUUGGCUAAUCCUGGUCGGACAUCAGGAGGUUAGUGCAAUGGCAUAAGCCAGCUUGACUGCGAGCGUGACGGCGCGAGCAGGUGCGAAAGCAGGUCAUAGUGAUCCGGUGGUUCUGAAUGGAAGGGCCAUCGCUCAACGGAUAAAAGGUACUCCGGGGAUAACAGGCUGAUACCGCCCAAGAGUUCAUAUCGACGGCGGUGUUUGGCACCUCGAUGUCGGCUCAUCACAUCCUGGGGCUGAAGUAGGUCCCAAGGGUAUGGCUGUUCGCCAUUUAAAGUGGUACGCGAGCUGGGUUUAGAACGUCGUGAGACAGUUCGGUCCCUAUCUGCCGUGGGCGCUGGAGAACUGAGGGGGGCUGCUCCUAGUACGAGAGGACCGGAGUGGACGCAUCACUGGUGUUCGGGUUGUCAUGCCAAUGGCACUGCCCGGUAGCUAAAUGCGGAAGAGAUAAGUGCUGAAAGCAUCUAAGCACGAAACUUGCCCCGAGAUGAGUUCUCCCUGAGACUUUAAGUCUCCUGAAGGAACGUUGAAGACGACGACGUUGAUAGGCCGGGUGUGUAAGCGCAGCGAUGCGUUGAGCUAACCGGUACUAAUGAACCGUGAGGCUUAACCUUACAA